rnacentral:rRNA from 1 species
GACGAACGCUGGCGGCGUGCUUAACACAUGCAAGUCGAACGGAAAGGCCCUGCUUUUGUGGGGUGCUCGAGUGGCGAACGGGUGAGUAACACGUGAGUAACCUGCCCUUGACUUUGUGAUAACUUCAGGAAACUGGGGCUAUUACCGGAUAGGAGCUCCUGCUGCAUGGUGGGGGAUGGAAAGUGUCGGCGGUUGGGGAUGGACUCGCGGCUUCUCAGCUGGUUUGUGGGGUAGUUGAUUACCAAGGCUUUGACGGGUAGCCGGCCUGAGAGGGUGACCGGCCACAUUGGGACUGAGAUACGGCCCAGACUCCUACGGGAGGCAGCAGUGGAGAAUAUUGCACAAUGGGCGGAAGCCUGAUGCAGCAACGCCGCGUGCGGGAUGACGGCCUUCGGGUUGUAAACCGCUUUCGCCUGUAACGAAGCGUGAGUGACGGUAAUGGGUAAAGAAGCACCGGCUAACUACGUG